rnacentral:rRNA from 1 species
CGUCUACAUUAGAUACCCCUGUAGUCCCAGCCGUAAACUAUGCGCGUUAGGUGUAUCGGUGACCACGAGUUACCGAGGUGCCGAAGGGAAACCGUGAAACGUGCCGCCUGGGAAGUACGGUCGCAAGGCUGAAACUUAAAGGAAUUGGCGGGGAGCACCACAACAGGUGGAGCCUGCGGUUUAAUUGGACUCAACGCCGGGAAGCUCACCGGAUAAGACAGCUGAAUGAUUGUCAAUCUGAAGGUUUUACAUGACUAGCUG